AGAAGUUGAAUUGCAAUUUGAUCUAUGUGUUAUGGUUUGAAUAUCAUUAGUCAUGUAUGUGUGUGUUUCUUUUUGUUCUCCUGAGUCUGACUGGACAGCCCCUCGUGGUGGAUCCCGACUCGGAGAAGACCGAGAACAUGCUUGAGGAUGUGGAUGAAGGAAGGUACGAAGAAGACGAGGGCUUCGAUGAAGACCAAACCUUGGAUGUUACUCUAUCGAGUCUCUCAGAUGAACCAAGCUUCUCUGUUUCCUCCUGCUUUCUGUCCUCCUCUGAGUCUCUCUCCUCCCUAGCUGCUGCCUCCACCACAUUGGCUGUUGACUCCAUGCCACAGUCAUGCACCUCGGCGUCUACUUAUGAGUCUGCGGCUGUGGAUAACUCUGGUGAAAAAAUGCUCUCAGAGCAGAGUAUCUUGUGAAGCGUAGGAACCAGCUCUCUCUGGUCCUCACACAGCAGCAGAACCGUCGGCCAGGCACAAUUGAAGAGGAAGAUAAGAGGAUUGUAUACUGCCCCUCUGUAGAGGCUGUACCAAAGGAGCAGUGGUUGGAGGAAAUAAAAAACUGCCUGUUUCUGUUACCGACGUUCUUCAAAACAUCUUUUGUCUUCUGAAGAAGAAAGAAAGUCAUACAGGUUUGAAUACAUCAACAUCAUUUUGGGGUGAACUAUUCCUUUAAUAACAACUUAAAGAAAGAGGAUUAUUCAUCUAUAACAGUUUUAUUCAUGUAUGUUUUUGUCACAGGGUGACAAAUAACCCCCGGAACUAUUCGCCAGAGAAGUGUUUCCGCGGGGAUACUCCCAGUGUAACACUGUCCCCGGGCCUGUGUGUGUGUCUGUCGCCAUGGCAACUAACCGGCAGAUUGGCAACAGGUGUGGGGACUUCACUCUGAGUGCCUGAUUGAGGCCACGCCAGCAUUCUUGAGAGGAUAAAACACAAGGGGAAGUGAAGGCUGGGUUGUGUUGCGUCGGGUUGUGCCGUGUUCUGUUCUGUUCUGUUCUGUUCUGUUCUGUUCUGUUCUGUUCUGUUCUGUGCUGUGCUGUGCUGUGCUGUGCUGUGCUGUGCUGUGCUGUGCUGUGCUGUGCUGUGCUGUGCUGUGCUGUGCUGUGCUGUGCUGUGCUGUGCUGUGCUGUGCUGUGC